rnacentral:rRNA from 1 species
UAACACAUGCAAGUCGAGCGCGAAAACACUUCGGUGUGAGUAGAGCGGCGGACGGGUGAGUAAUGCUUGGGAAUCUGCCCAGUAGUGGGGGAUAACGUGUGGAAACGCACGCUAAUACCGCAUACGUCCUACGGGAGAAAGCAGGGGAUCUUCGGACCUUGCGCUAUUGGAUGAGCCCAAGUCGGAUUAGCUAGUUGGUGGGGUAAUGGCCUACCAAGGCGACGAUCCGUAGCUGGUCUGAGAGGAUGAUCAGCCACACUGGGACUGAGACACGGCCCAGACUCCUACGGGAGGCAGCAGUGGGGAAUAUUGCACAAUGGGCGAAAGCCUGAUGCAGCCAUGCCGCGUGUGUGAAGAAGGCUCUAGGGUUGUAAAGCACUUUCAGUAGGGAGGAAAAGCUUAAGGUUAAUAACCUUGAGCCCUGACGUUACCUACAGAAGAAGCACCGGCAAACUCCGUGCCAGCAGCCGCGGUAAUACGGAGGGUGCGAGCGUUAAUCGGAAUUACUGGGCGUAAAGCGCGCGUAGGUGGUUUGAUAAGCUAGCUGUGAAAGCCCCGGGCUCAACCUGGGAACUGCAGUUAGAACUGUCUGACUAGAGUACAGUAGAGGGUGGCGGAAUUUCCUGUGUAGCGGUGAAAUGCGUAGAUAUAGGAAGGAACAUCAGUGGCGAAGGCGGCCACCUGGACUGAUACUGA